rnacentral:rRNA from 1 species
GAAUAGGGCGCAUGAGUACGUGGUCGUAGACCCGAAACCAGGUGAUCUACCCAUGUCCAGGGUGAAGUUCAGGUAACACUGAAUGGAGGCCCGAACCCACGCACGUUGAAAAGUGCGGGGAUGAGGUGUGGGUAGGGGUGAAAUGCCAAUCGAACCUGGAGAUAGCUGGUUCUCUCCGAAAUAGCUUUAGGGCUAGCCUCAAGGUAAGAGUCUCGGAGGUAGAGCACUGAUUGGACUAGGGGCCCCUACCGGGUUACCGAAUUCAGUCAAACUCCGAAUGCCGAUGACUUAUCCUUGGGAGUCAGACUGCGAGUGAUAAGAUCCGUAGUCGAAAGGGAAACAGCCCAGACCGCCAGCUAAGGUCCCAAAGUAUACGUUAAGUGGAAAAGGAUGUGGAGUUGCUUAGACAACCAGGAUGUUGGCUUAGAAGCAGCCACCAUUUAAAGAGUGCGUAAUAGCUCACUGGUCGAGUGACUCUGCGCCGAAAAUGUACCGGGGCUAAACGUAUCACCGAAGCUGCGGACUGUUCUAACGAACAGUGGUAGGAGAGCGUUCUAAGUGCUGUGAAGUCAGACCGGAAGGACUGGUGGAGCGCUUAGAAGUGAGAAUGCCGGUAUGAGUAGCGAAAGACGGGUGAGAAUCCCGUCCACCGAAUGCCUAAGGUUUCCUGAGGAAGGCUCGUCCGCUCAGGGUUAGUCGGGACCUAAGCCGAGGCCGAAAGGCGUAGGCGAUGGACAACAGGUUGAUAUUCCUGUACCACCUCCUCACCAUUUGAGCAAUGGGGGGACGCAGGAGGAUAGGGUAAGCGCGGUAUUGGAUAUCCGCGUCCAAGCAGUUAGGCUGGGAAAUAGGCAAAUCCGUUUCCCGUGAAGGCUGAGCUGUGAUGGCGAGCGAAAUUUAGUAGCGAAGUUCCUGAUUCCACACUGCCAAGAAAAGCCUCUAGCGAGGUGAGAGGUGCCCGUACCGCAAACCGACACAGGUAGGCGAGGAGAGAAUCCUAAGGUGAUCGAGAGAACUCUCGUUAAGGAACUCGGCAAAAUGACCCCGUAACUUCGGGAGAAGGGGUGCUUCUUAGGGUGUUAAAGCCCCGAGAAGCCGCAGUGAAUAGGCCCAGGCGACUGUUUAGCAAAAACACAGGUCUCUGCGAAGCCGUAAGGCGAAGUAUAGGGGCUGACGCCUGCCCGGUGCUGGAA